rnacentral:rRNA from 1 species
GGAAUAUUGCACAAUGGGCGCAAGCCUGAUGCAGCGACGCCGCGUGAGGGAUGACGGCCUUCGGGUUGUAAACCUCUUUCAGUAGGGAAGAAGCGAAAGUGACGGUACCUGCAGAAGAAGCGCCGGCUAACUACGUGCCAGCAGCCGCGGUAAUACGUAGGGCGCAAGCGUUAUCCGGAAUUAUUGGGCGUAAAGAGCUCGUAGGCGGUUUGUCGCGUCUGCUGUGAAAGACCGGGGCUCAACUCCGGUUCUGCAGUGGGUACGGGCAGACUAGAGUGCAGUAGGGGAGACUGGAAUUCCUGGUGUAGCGGUGAAAUGCGCAGAUAUCAGGAGGAACACCGAUGGCGAAGGCAGGUCUCUGGGCUGUAACUGACGCUGAGGAGCGAAAGCAUGGGGAGCGAACAGGAUUAGAUACCCGAG